CCUUCUUGGUCUCUUCGGUAGUGGCCUGUCGCUUGAAUCGCAGCAGCGGAUCGCUGGCAUUGGCUGUGCGGAUGAAAGGAAGGAGCAAGAGGAAACCAGAGCAUGGUUGGAUAUGUCAAACUCAUACUGUGCUGCAAUUCAAUGUACGACACAUCAAGCGUUGUGACUGGCGAGAACUGCUUCCGGGUGGGAGAGUUGUAAACCACGAGGAUAGCUGACUGGAGCACCAACACGGAAAUCACACAAGACCGGAAGAUAAAACUGCAGGGAUCGUGAAGAACUCGGCUGUGCUAAAAGUCGGCUAAAGGAACGCCAACACAAGCACUUGACAGGCGUCAAUUUUGGGUUCGGUAACAGAUUAACAUGUGGAGCUCCAUUACAACCUUUCUAGCGCAGAAGAUCGAGGAAGGCUGGCGGGUCCUUGCCCCGGGAAAACAUUACUAUAACUUGUAUUCUUCUAUAUUGGCUGCGAUCAGGAGUACAAACUCUCCGUCGAAGUGGCUGAUUUCGAAAUCUGACAGUGACACCAUGGGACACCAUUAAGGCGCAGGCUAAGAUUAACACAUGUAAGAUACAUUAUUAAAAAAACAUUUUUGUAUUGAGCGGAUUUUCGAAUAAAAGUUGUGCAUACUUCGGGGUGCUCGGAUAA